rnacentral:lncRNA from 1 species
GUGAUCUAUACCAUUGAAAUAUAAUGGCUAUAAUUUGGAUCUGUGCAUUACUUAGUUUGAUCAAGCAUGUCACAAGUCACGAUGGAAUACAUUGUACGAUUGAGAUGUGUAAAUGUACAGAUGAUAAAGCCAUAUGCUCUGGUAAAAAUCUUACUUAUAUUCCACGUUUUCCAAGUGGUGUUCAAUCAGUUACUUUUCUGAAUGGGAAUAUUGG